rnacentral:rRNA from 1 species
AGUGAACGCUGGCGGUAGGCCUAACACAUGCAAGUCGAACGGCAGCACAGUAAGAGCUUGCUCUUACGGGUGGCGAGUGGCGGACGGGUGAGGAAUACAUCGGAAUCUACUUUUUCGUGGGGGUUAACGUAGGGAAACUUACGCUAAUACCGCAUACGACCUACGGGUGAAAGCAGGGGAUCUUCGGACCUUGCGCGAUUGAAUGAGCCGAUGUCGGAUUAGCUAGUUGGCGGGGUAAAGGCCCACCAAGGCGACGAUCCGUAGCUGGUCUGAGAGGAUGAUCAGCCACACUGGAACUGAGACACGGUCCAGACGCCUACGGGAGGCAGCAGUGGGGAAUAUUGGACAAUGGGCGCAAGCCUGAUCCAGCCAUACCGCGUGGGUGAAGAAGGCCUUCGGGUUGUAAAGCCCUUUUGUUGGGAAAGAAAAGCAGCAGGUUAAUACCCCGCUGUUCUGACGGUACCCAAAGAAUAAGCACCGGCUAACUUCGUG